UAAUAGCGUACCAACGAGACGACGGGUAGCCGGCUGAGAGGGCGACCGGCCCACACUGGGACUGAGACACGCCCCAGACUCCUACGGGAGGCAGCAGUGGGGAAUAUUGCGCAAUGGGCGAAAGCCUGACGCAGCGACGCCGCGUGGGGGAUGAAUGCCUUCGGGUUGUAAACCCCUUUCAGCAGGGACGAAGCGAAAGUGACGGUACCUGCAGAAGAAGCGCCGGCUAACUACGUGCCAGCAGCCGCGGUAACACGUAGGGCGCAAGCGUUGUCCGGAAUUAUUGGGCGUAAAGAGCUGGUAGGUGGUCUGUUGCGUCCGCUGUGAAAAAACAGGGAUUAAACAUGGCCUUGCAGUGGAUACGGGCAGACUAGAGGUAGGUAGGGGAGAAUGGAAUUCCCGGUGUAGCGGUGAAAUG
rnacentral:rRNA from 1 species